AUUGAACGCUGGCGGCAUGCCUUACACAUGCAAGUCGAACGGCAGCACGGGAGCAAUCCUGGUGGCGAGUGGCGAACGGGUGAGUAAGGUAUCGGAACGUGCCCAGUCGUGGGGGAUAACGUAGCGAAAGUUACGCUAAUACCGCAUACGAUCUAUGGAUGAAAGCGGGGGAUCGCAAGACCUUGCGCGAUUGGAGCGGCCGAUAUCAGAUUAGGUAGUUGGUGGGGUAAAGGCUCACCAAGCCGACGAUCUGUAGCUGGUCUGAGAGGACGACCAGCCACACUGGGACUGAGAGACGGCCCAGACUCCUACGGGAGGCAGCAGUGGGGAAUUUUGGACAAUGGGCGAAAGCCUGAUCCAGCCAUGCCGCGUGCAGGAUGAAGGCCUUCGGGUUGUAAACUGCUUUUGUACGGAACGAAAAGGUUUGGCCUAAUAAGCUGAGCUCAUGACGGUACCGUAAGAAUAAGCACCGGCUAACUACGUGCCAGCCGCCGCAGUAA
rnacentral:rRNA from 1 species